rnacentral:rRNA from 1 species
AGAGUUUGAUCAUGGCUCAGAACGAACGCUGGCGGCGCGCCUAAUACAUGCAAGUCGAGCGAGAAGACGUAGCAAUACGUUUGUAAAGCGGCGAACGGGUGAGGAAUACAUGGGUAACCUACCCUCGAGUGGGGAAUAACUAGCCGAAAGGUUAGCUAAUACCGCAUACGAUUCCCGGACUUCGGUUCGGGAAGGAAAGCGAUACCGUGGGUAUCGCGCUCUUGGAUGGGCUCAUGUCCUAUCAGCUUGUUGGUGAGGUAAUGGCUCACCAAGGCUUCGACGGGUAGCUGGUCUGAGAGGACGAUCAGCCACACUGGCACUGCGACACGGGCCAGACUCCUACGGGAGGCAGCAGUAAGGAAUAUUGCGCAAUGGACGAAAGUCUGACGCAGCGACGCCGCGUGGGGGAUGAAGGUCUUCGGAUUGUAAACCCCUUUCGGCAGGGAAGAUGGAAUGGGGUAACCCAUUCGGACGGUACCUGCAGAAGCAGCCACGGCUAACUUCGUGCCAGCAGCCGCGGUAAUACGAAGGUGGCAAGCGUUGUUCGGAUUCACUGGGCGUACAGGGAGCGUAGGCGGUUGGGUAAGCCCUCCGUGAAAUCUCCGGGCCUAACCCGGAAAGUGCAGAGGGGACUGCUCGGCUAGAGGAUGGGAGAGGAGCGCGGAAUUCCCGGUGUAGCGGUGAAAUGCGUAGAGAUCGGGAGGAAGGCCGGUGGCGAAGGC